rnacentral:misc_RNA from 1 species
UCCGGUUUGUCACCGGCAGUCCCAUUAGAGUGCCCAACUAAAUGUAGCAACUAAUGGCAAGGGUUGCGCUCGUUGCGGGACUUAACCCAACAUCUCACGACACGAGCUGACGACAGCCAUGCAGCACCUGUGUCCAGGUUCCCUUUCGGGCACACCGAACUCUCAUCCGGCUCCCGGGCAUGUCAAGGGUAGGUAAGGUUUUUCGCGUUGCAUCGAAUUAAUCCACAUGAUCCACCGCUUGUGCGGGUCCCCGUCAAUUCCUUUGAGUUUUAAUCUUGCGACCGUACUCCCCAGGCGGUCAACUUCACGCGUUAGCUUCGUUACCAAGGGAAUCAAUCCCCCGACAACCAGUUGACAUAGUUUAGGGCGUGGACUAC